AUUAAUCCUCUUGCAGCAGAUGCUCGUCUGUCAAUCAACCUGACGCGGGGGCGCGCGCUCGGACUUGACUUGAGAGCGCGAGAGAGAGAACACAGCAGGUGCGCGAGGGAUCCGCGCCGUCAUUUAGCGAUGCAGGAAUGGUAAAUAAAGCCGUUUAUUGAGCUAAUCAUGUCUUGACAGCGGCCACAGGCUUGUUUUGAACCACCAACGUUGCAUUUGUUUACCGGACAACGCAAUGCCGUCGCAGGACGAGGCUGAGGCGGUAAAUGAAGACGACAGUCCGCCUCCGGUUCCACCGCGAGCGGCUCCUCAGCGACACUCACCGGCGUCCGCCGCCGUACCUGAGCGCCGGGCCAAGUGUGUGCUGGCCGGGGGUGGCUAGGGUUGUGGUGGAUGGAAGACCAGUUCAACUUCAACUGUGUGACAGGACAGGACAGGACAGGAUGAGUUUGAGCGCCUCCGUCCUCUCUGUUACCGUGACGCUGGUGUCUUCCUGCUCUGCUACAGCGUGGUCCUUCCAUCCUCCUUCAGGAGCGUGACGUCCCGCUGGGCCCCCGAGGUCCAUCACCUCUGUCCGGGCGUUCCCAUCAUCCUCGUGGGCACCCGGAGCGACCUGCGGGAGACUGAUCAGACUCGCGGAUGGCCAGGAGAAACCGGUGAGCGGAGACGACGCCCGCCUGUGCGCCCGGAGCAUCAGCGCCGUCACGUUUGCUGAAUGCUCAGCGCUGACGCAGAAGAACCUGAAGGAAGUGUUCGAUGGCGCCAUCUUGGCUGGCACACGGCACACGGAGGCGGCGGCAUGGCCAAGGAUGCAUGCGCUGAGAGAAAAAACUCCAGAUAAAAUCAGGCAGCUCUCAGAAACAUGAUGGAGGAAACUGAGCUGCGUCCAGAGCUUUGACCUUCAGUGACCCUUCAGUGACGGAGAAUCCACUUACGCCACACUGCGUCACCUGUUACGUGUUGUAUCUCCUGUGACCCAGAAGUGUUUGUGUCGUAUGGCCCAGUACCUUGCAUUCAUAGCAGUGGAUUAGCUGAUCCUGUGAACAGACUGAAGAUCAAGACUGAAGGAGAGGUAUUUGAUGUCUGCGUUGCACCUGUUGGACUCCGCGAGGCAGUCCGGAGCCGCAAUAGAUCCUGUAAUGGGUCGAGACAGAAGCCACAUGUGGGAAUUAGGCGGGCAGAUGGCGACUGGUUUUCCCCUCACAGGAUCUCUUGACCUCCACCUGCUGCAGAAAUCGUGCAGGAAUAACAUCAGAACAACAGGCCUUGAGAGCUGAACCUGGGUGAUUUUACCAGUAUGACUCAGUUUUUCUGAUCAUUGUUCAGCUGGUAUUCUGGAGCGAUGACAAUCGAGAGUGUGACUUACAUUUUUUUUUUCUUCUAAAAACAUGACUGGAAACAAUAUUUCUUACUCCGCGUAUUUUAAUACACUGUUGUUGUCAAUAGUAUCCAUCAAUAUAAGGCUUUAAUUGUCUCUCUAGUAGUAGUGCACUUAUGGAGCUUCACCUGUAGAGGACACUAUUGAGUUACGUCCUGAAAAUCAUGUGAACACAAGAGGUCAAGGCCAUCCAACCUGAAGCAUCUUCUGUGUGGGUUCUGCUGGGAUGGCAUUAAUGCUUUCACUGCCAUGUGGCUAUUGGCAGGGAUGUUUUAAGUCCGAGUUAAUGUCUGUAUGUCAUUGAAAUCAAUAAAAUCAAGUCAAAUUAAGCGUCUGUAUCAGCAUUUUGCAAAUGCUGCAGGAUCUUCUUUUCUUCACUAUCUUCAGAUUUGCUCAGUGCUUGUUCAGCUGGCGUUUUGGUGGUUUUUAGUAGGUGUACGAAGACGGUUCUCCUCAAGUUCACACAGGUGUCCUUGCAGAAUGAUCCACACAAAGUGGCACAAUACAUACUGUGAUUAAUUUCAAUGCAAGAUCUGUUGGUUUACGCUUUCAAAAAAACAUUAAUUUUGUCAAAUGUUUAGCUUGAUAAGUUCUUGUACUAGUUUCUUUUACC